GCCGGGAUAGCUCAGUGGUAGAGCAACGGUUUUGUAAACCGUAGGUCGUGGGUCCGAAUCCCUCUCCCGGCU
rnacentral:tRNA from 1 species